rnacentral:tRNA from 1 species
GCUCGGGUGGCGGAAUCUGGUAGACGCGCUAGCUUCAGGUGUUAGUAACUUUUUAGUUGUGGAAGUUCAAAUCUUCUCUCGAGCA